rnacentral:rRNA from 1 species
AACGAACGCUGGCGGCAGGCUUAACACAUGCAAGUCGAACGCAUCCUUCGGGGUGAGUGGCAGACGGGUGAGUAACGCGUGGGAACGUGCCCUUCAGUUCGGGAUAACCCAGGGAAACUUGGGCUAAUACCGGAUACGUGCGAGAGCAGAAAGAUUUAUCGCUGAAGGAUCGGCCCGCGUCUGAUUAGCUAGUUGGUGGGGUAAUGGCCCACCAAGGCGACGAUCAGUAGCUGGUCUGAGAGGAUGAUCAGCCACAUUGGACUGAGACACGGCCCAAACUCCUACGGGAGGCAGCAGUGGGGAAUAUUGGACAAUGGGCGCAAGCCUGAUCCAGCCAUGCCGCGUGAGUGAUGAAGGCCUUAGGGUUGUAAAGCUCUUUCGUCCGGGACGAUAAUGACGGUACCGGAAGAAGAAGCCCCGGCUAACUUCGUGCCAGCCGCCGCGGUAA